UACGUAGGGUGCAAGCGUUGUCCGGAAUUAUUGGGCGUAAAGAGCUCGUAGGCGGUUUGUUGCGUCUAUCGUGAAAACCUGCGGCUUAACUGUGGGCUUGCGGUGGAUACGGGCAGACUUGAGUUCGGUAGGGGAGACUGGAAUUCCUGGUGUAGCGGUGAAAUGCGCAGAUAUCAGGAGGAACACCUGCGGCGAAGGCGGGUAGCUGGGCCGACACUGACGCUGAUGCGCGAAAGCCAGGGGAGCGAACGGG
rnacentral:rRNA from 1 species